GUCCCUGUAGCGCAAUGAAUAGCGCGUUGGGCUUAUAAUCCAGAGGUUGUGGGUUCGAAUCCCACCUGGGAUG
rnacentral:tRNA from 1 species